ACUAUGGAAGGUGCAAAACACCAGAUUCUGCUCUCCAACUGUCAGAGCAGGUGGCGUGGAAACAGGCUGCCUUCUACGAGGACUCCUAACCUGGUUAGAAGCAGGUGUCGUCAGAGACAAGUGUUUCUGCGAUGGCUGCCUUCUCGAGGAUGACCACCCCAAAUCCUGCUCCAGCUGGAAUUCCUGAUGCUCUCUAAGGUCCCAUCCCUCUGUGGAAGCUUCAACAGGAACAGCCAAUACACAGGCCCGUGGUUCUAAAGUUUAUUACCCUGGAGAGUCACUUGGAGGGCAGGGAUCGUUAAAAUGCAGAUUCCUGAGCCCCAGCUGCAGAGAUCUGAUUCAGUAGGAAGCCCAGAAGACAGCAAGCCCAAAUGAAGGAUGUGAGGACGUCCUCCAGGGGCUAGGCUCCUUCUGUCUUUCUGCUCUGCCAGCUUUCAGCGUGGUUCUUUCUCCUGUUUGUAAGAUUACUGCUGCUUCUCCACGCAUCGCAUCCGCAUUCCAGGUGCAGACUGACCUAUAAAAAUGAAUGCAGAGUCAUCGCCUUCUUCCUGCUGUACACCAUGCUAUUUAACUGAGCCCCAAAUCCCUUGAACUGAAACAUCCCACCGUCAAUUUAUACAGAGCAUGCCUUGAACUCUGAUGCUUGUGGGGAAGAGGUAGGGCAAUGGGGACACACACCACUGAAUAUAUACCCUGUGAAAGCCACUCUGCCAUAUCCCUUAUUAGACAUUCCAUUCAGAAGACCCCAAGGCCAUAUCAACCUCAUUCAGGCCAUUGCAAGGCUGGUUUUAUGGACCCAAGGAAGUACUUCACAUAAUCAUUGCUAAACUCCAUGCUGCCAGAUUUAGUCCAUUGCUCCUGAGCUCUGCUAAUGUUACCCAAUGAACUACACAGCUAGCAUUUUUAGCUCUAAGUCACCUUAAAAUAUGAUCUAUCUUUAGUAUUAGUUAGGAUUGUGUUCAGGUAUAAUGGGGAAAAAAAAACCCAACCAAGUAACAGUUACUGACAUAGAACAAGUUUAUUCAAGAAGUGUGGAGGUUGGCGGUGCCUGGGUGGCUCAGUUGGUUAAUAAUCUGACUUGAUUUCAGCUCAGGUCAGAAUCUCAGGGUCAUAAGAUCAAGCCCCAUGUCGGGCUCCAUGCUGGUCAAGAAGCCUGCUUAAGAUUCUCUUUCUCUCUUUCCCUGUGCCCCUCCACCCCCAACCCCUGACUCACUUGCUCUCUCUCUCUCUCUCUCAAAAAAAAAAAAAAAAGUCUGGAGGUUGUCAGCCCAGGGUUGAUAUGACGUGCCAAAGUAUCAGGGAUGCAGGCACCUUCUACCUUGUUACUCUAUUAUGAAGUUCUGCCAGUUUCAAGGUCACUGCCUUGUCCAGGAUGGCUGCUGGACUUCUAGACAUCAUGUCUGAAUUCCAGCCAGCAAGGAAGAGGAAAUCAAGGAAGAGGCAAUGGCCCUUCCUUUUACACAUUUCCUGGUAAUUACAUGUCAUUUCCACUUACAUCCCACUGGCCAGAACUGAGUCACAUAGUCAUAACUUAGCUGCAAGGGUGGAUGGGAAAUGUAGUCUUUGUUCAGAAUGGCUAUAUGUCCAUCUAAAAAUCAGGUAAAUGUCACCAUUAAAGACUGAAAGGAUAUGGGGGACAAUUUGUAGUCUUGGCUAAUCUUUUCCUUUCCUUUCCUUCCUUCCUUCCUUCCUUCCUUCCUUCCUUCCUU